rnacentral:lncRNA from 1 species
UACGUGAGUUAUUUCUUUGCUUCUUUUUUCUUAGCAUACUAAUCUGUAUAUUGUUAUCAAGAAAUGAGAAGAUUGAUAGUGUUAUAGUGUUCUUGUUUUGCUAAAUUUGUAUAUUGUUAUCAGAAUAAUGGAAGAUUGAUAGUGUUAUUAGUGUUCUUGUUUUGCUAAAUUUUUGUAUAUUGUUAUCAAGAAAUGAGAAGAUUGAUAGUGUAUUAGUGUUCUUGUUUUGCUAAUUUUUUGAUAUGUAUCAAGAAAUGAGAAGAUUGAUAGUGUUUAUAGUGUUCUUGUUUGCUAAAUUUUGAUAUUGUUAUCAAGAAAUGAGAAGAUUGAUAGUGUUAUUGUGUUUUGUUUGCUUAAAUUUUGUAUAUUGUUAUCAAGAAAUGAGAAGAUUGAUAGUGUAUUAGUUGUCUUUUUGCUAAAUUUUGUAUAUUGUUAUCAAGAAAUAGAAGUUGAUAGUGUUAUUAGUGUUCUUGUUUGCUAAUUUUGUAUAUUGUUAUCAAGAAAUGAGAAGAUUGAUAGUGUAUAGUGUUAUUAGUNNNNNNNNNNUAGUUAUUGUAUGCAAAAAUGAGAAGAUUGAUAGUGUUAUUAGUUUUCUUGUUUUGUAAAUUUUGUAUAUUGUUAUCAAGAUGAGAAGAUUGAUAGUGUUAUUAGUGUUCUUGUUUUGCUAAAUUUUGUAUAUUGUUAUAAGAGAGAAGAUUGAUAGUGUUAUUAGUGUUUUAUGAUAGUGUUAUUAGUGUUCUUGUUAUCAAGAAACGUUUGACGCUGACCCUUUAGCAAAUUCUCUCAAAAAUGAAAGGCAUUGCCAUGGGGAAUUCUCCAUGGCUUCUAUUCAGUCAAAUAAGGAUGUGGAAGAUCACAACCAAGUCGAUGUAUGUCAUGACGCACUGUUCAUUUGAAUUUGUGAUGGCUUCAAAGGCCACACCACUACUUCCUAUAUUCGUACGCACAUCUUUAGGACUCUAUUACGUGAGUUAUUUCUUUGCUUCUUUUUUCUUAGCAUACUACUAUGUAUAUUGUUAUCAAGAAAUGAGAAGAUUGAUAGUGUUAUUAGUGUUCUUGUUUUGCUAAAUUUUGUAUGUUGUUAUCAAAAAAUAAGAAGAUUGAUAGGGUUAUUAGUGUUCUUGUUUUGCUAAAUUUUGUAUAUUGUUAUCAAGAAAUAAGAAGAUUGAUAGUGUUAUUAGUGUUCUUGUUUUGCUAAAUAUUGUAUAUUGUUAUCAAGAAAUGAGAAGCUUGAUAGUGUUAUUAGUCGUCUUGUUUUGCUAAAUUUUGUAUAUUAUUAUCAAGAAAUGAGUAGAUUGAUAGUGUAUUAGUGUUCUUGUUUUGCUAAAUUUGUAUAUGUUAUCAAGAAAUGAGAAGAUUGAUAUGUUAUUAGUGUUCUUGUUUUGCUAAAUUUGUAUAUUGUUAUCAAGAAAUGAGAAGAUUGAUAGUGUUUAUUAGUGUUCUUGUUUUGCUAAUUGUAUAUUGUUAUCGAAGAUGAAAGAUUGAUAUGUUAUUAGUGUUCUUGUUUUGCUAAAUUUUGUAUAUUGUUAUCAAGAAAUGAGAAAGAUUGAUAGUGUUAUUAGUGUUCUUGUUUGCUAAAUUUUGUAUAUUGUUAUCAAGAAAUGAGAAGAUUGAUAGUGUUAUUAGUGUUCUUGUUUUGCUAAAUUUGUUAUAUGUUAUCAAGAAAUGAGAAGAGUAUAGUGUUAUUAGUGUUCUUGUUUGCUAAAUUUUGUAUAUUGUUUCAAGAAAUAGAAGAUUGAUAGUGUAUUAUGUUCUUGUUUUGCUAAAUUUUGUAUAUUGUUAUCAAGAAAUGAGAAGAUUGAUAGUGUUAUUAGUGUUCUGUUUUUGCUAAUAUUGUAUAUUGUUAUCAAGAAAUGAGAGAAGAUUGAUAGUGUUAUUAGUUUCUGUUUUGCUAAAUUUUGUAUAUUGUUAUCAAAGAAUGAGAAGAUUGAUAGUUUAUAUGUUCUUGUUUUGCUAAAAUUUGUAUAUUGUUAUCAAGAAAUGAGAAAGAUUGAUAGUGUUAUUGUGUUCUUUUUUUCUAAAUUUUGUAUAUUUUUAUCAGAAAUGAGAAGAUGAUAGGUUAUUAUGUUCUGUUUUGCUAAAUUUGUAUAUUAUACAAGAAAUGAGAGAUUGUAGUGUAUUAGUGUUCUUGUUUUCUAAAUUUUGUAUAUUGUAUCAAGAAAUGAGAAGAUUGAUAGUGUUAUUAGUGUUCUUGUUUUGCAAAAUUUGUAUAUGUUAUCAAGAAAUGAGAGGAUUGAUAGUGUUAUUAGUGUUCUUUUUGCUAAAUUUUGUAUAUUUAUACAGAAAUGAGAAGAUUGAUAGUGUUAUUAGUGUUCUUGUUUUGCUAAAUUUUGUAUAUUGUUAUCAAGAAAUGAGAAGAUUGAUAGUGUUAUUAGUGUUUUGUUUUGCUAAAUUUUGAUAUUGUUAUCAAGAAAUAGAAAGAUUGAUAGUGUUAUUAGUGUUCUUGUUUUGCUAAAUUUGUAUAUUGUUAUCAAAAUGAGAAGAUUGAUAGUGUUAUUAGUGUUUUGUUUUGCUAAAUUUUAUAUUGUUAUCAAGAAAUGAGAAGAUUGAUAGGUUAUUAGGUUUCGUUUUGCUAAAUUUUGUAUAUGUUAUCAAGAAAUGAGAAGAUUGAUAGGGUUAUUAUGUUCUUUUGUUUUGCUAAAUUUUGUAUAUUUAUCAAGAAAUAAGAAGAUUGAUAGUGUUAUUAGUGUUCUUGUUUUGCUAAAUUUUGUAUAUUGUUAUCAAGAAAUGAGAAGUUUGAUAGUGUUAUUAGUGUCUUGUUUUGCUAAAUUUGUAUAUUUUAUCAAGAAAUGAGAAGUUGAUAGUGUUAUUAGUGUUCUUGUUUUGUAAAUUUGUAUAUGUUAUCAAGAAAUGAGAAGAUUGAUAGUGUUAUUAGUGUUCUUGUUUUGCUAAAAUUUGUAUAUGUUAUCAGAAAUGAGAAGAUUGAUAUUGUUAUUAGUGUUCUUGUUUUGCUAAAUUUGUAUAUUGUUAUCAAGAAAUGAGAAGAUUGAUAGUGUUAUUAGUGUUCUUGUUUGCUAAAUUUUGUAUAUUGUUAUCAAGAAAUGAGAAGAUUGAUAGUGUUAUUAGUGUUCUUGUUUUGCUAAAUUUUGUUUAUUGUUUAUCAAGAAAUGAGAAGAUUGAUAGUGUUAUUAGUGUUCUUGUUUUGCUAAAUUUUAUAUUGUUAUCAAGAAAUAGAAGAUUGAUAGUGAUUAGUGUUUUUUUUGCUAAAUUUUGUAUAUUGUUAUCAAGAAAUGAGAAGAUUGAUAGUGUUAUUAGUGUUCUGUUUUUCUAAAUUUUAUAUUGUUAUCAAGAAAUGAGAAGAUUGAUAGUGUUAUUAGUUCUUGUUUUGCUAAAUUUUGUAUAUUGUUAUCAAGAAAUGAGAAGAUUGAUAGUUAUUAGUGUUCUUGUUUUGCUAAAUUUUGUAUAUUGUUAUCAAGAAAUGAGAAGAUUGAUAGUGUUAUUAGUGUUCUUUUUUCUAAAUUUUGUAUAUUUUAUCAGAAAAGAGAAGAUUGAUAGUGUUAUUAUGUUCUUGUUUUGUAAAUUGUAUAUUUUAUCAAGAAAUGAGAAGAUUGAUAGUGUUAUUAGUGUUCUUGUUUUCUAAAUUUGUAUAUUGUUAUCAAGAAAUGAGAAGAUUGAAUAUGUUAUUAGUUCUUGUUUGCAAAAUUUGUAUAUUGUUAUCAAGAAAUGAGAGAUUGAUAUGUUAUUAUGUUCUUUUUUGCAAAUUUGUAUAUUAACAAGAACAUGAGAAGAUUGAUAGUGUUAUUAGUGUUCUUGUUUUGCUAAAUUAUGUAUAUUGUUAUCAAGAAAUGAGAAGAUUGAUAUUGUUAUUAGUGUUCUUGUUUUGCUAAAUUUUAUAAAUUGUUAUCAAGAAAUGAGAAGAUUGAUAGUGUUAUUAGUGUUCUUGUUU